rnacentral:rRNA from 1 species
UACGAAGGGGGCUAGCGUUGCUCGGAAUCACUGGGCGUAAAGCGCACGUAGGCGGAUCUUUAAGUCAGGGGUGAAAUCCUGGAGCUCAACUCCAGAACUGCCUUUGAUACUGGGGAUCUCGAGUCCGGAAGAGGUGAGUGGAACUCCGAGUGUAGAGGUGAAAUUCGUAGAUAUCAGGAGGAACACCUAUGGCGAAGGCAGCUCUCUGGUACGUGACUGACGCUGAGACGCGAAAGCGUGGGGAGCGAACAGG